rnacentral:tRNA from 1 species
UCUAACGUGGCAGAUUUAAUUGCAAGGAAUUUAAGAUUCCUGUAUAAAUAAUACUUAUUUCUUUAGAA